CAAGGACUCACCCAGGUGAUCCCAAGGCAGGUAUUGGAAGCAGGCUCCUGUUUGCUCAAUGACUGGGUGCAUUCCCAUUGCUAGUUGGGCCAACACACUGCUCUGGCUCCUGCUCCAGCCUUACCUCUUUCUGCUGGCUGCCUGGCAACACUGAAACAUCUGAUCCUGCAGCAAUUACUGCUAGCAGCACUCUCGUCAGACCCUCCCUACUGAAUCGCUAGUGCAGUGACCCUGCAUUUUCUUUACAGGUUUCCCAGCCAAGUACUGCCCAGGUCUGGUUCAGUUCAGCUUGCAAGCUCUCUGGACCAGAGGCGGAUCAUGGCCCAGGGUACUACAGCUGCCCCACUUUGUUUAUCUGGACUUGCAGCAAACAGGGCUGUCUAGGAGCAUCUGUCUGGAGUCGCUAACGGCUAGGAGAGUUGGGAUGGAUUCAUUGCCAUUACCUGGGUGCCUCUUUUGCCCUUCCUUCCGGGGGCUCCAUGCUUGGGGCUGCUUCUCCCAGGAUUUCCCUGUGGAGCAUGGAGUCAGAGGGGUGUUGCCGGGGGAUCCUGGAGGCCCUGCGACACCACGGAGACUCCGGGAGCCUUUCCGCCCCUGGAUCAAGGCAGGAGGAAGAGAUUAGCAGCACGGAGCCAGCAGGGAAGAACGUCAGAAGGGUCAGGAAGUGCAGGAAGCUAUUGCUGAGUCCGCAUUGUUGGGGGACCCAUUUGAAGAUGAGUGGCUCUUUGGGAAGCAGCAUUACAAUGGGAUACGCAGUGAGCGUGGCCCAAAGGGCGUGGCGCAGGGGCUUGGGGCUGCCCGGCUCUGCUGCAGGACAUGCGAUUGGGCAGCUCACCUUCUCCCCAGGGAUGCCAUCGUAUCCAGCUUCCCCAGGAGCUCCCUGGAAAGAGAUUUGCAGUUGUCUUAGUCCUGGAUGCUACCUGGGACCUGUUUGAAUAAACAUGCACUCUGCAGCAAGCCCAGGAGCAGCUCGUGUCCUUCCUGGCCACAUCCGUUAGGGCCAGACCUUCUCAACAUUGUGCAUCUUGGCAGAGAGGAUGCCUUGUGGACACCUCCCCUCCUGUUCGAGCCACGAGCCACCUCCCCUGCUGCUCUUCAUUGUCCAGUCCCUCCUCCCCUGCCAUUCACCACUGCGCAGCUAGGAGCGCCACGGAAAUGCCGGGCACUGAGUGGCCCACUGCUCCGACCAGUUUUGCAGGUGGAUAUAUGGAGGCUGGUGAACAGUACAGCUCGGGGUGUUGGCCUUCCAUCUGCCCGGGAUGGCGCAGAUUCCCCUGGUACACCUGUACUGCCUGGCCCCAGAGGAGUGUGCCUGGAGUGCCACGUGCGGGGAGACGUUUAGGGAGAGGGUAUGACUAGCAGGCCUGGCUAUUGUGCAGAUGAGCCAUGAAGCUGAGCCCUGCCAUGCUAACCUUAAGGUUUGCUCUACAACAUACGUGGUAUUUGCCUGUUAGAUUCUACACGCACACCAAACAGUGAGGCCUCUGUACCUGCUCUCCAGGGUAUCCUGGCAGUCCCUGAAGCAAGACACAGAGAGAAAGUCAGUGAGGUGGAGGAAUCUCCGAACCAAAGGGAAAGCGGCUGCCAAGGCUGUAUCUGGCAUCUUACCUUGGGUCCACGUUGGCCUGGGCAUCCCUGGGUUCCCCAGCUUCCUUGGAGCCCCUGCAGUCCCUGCUCCCCCUGAAAUUGGGAUUGGAAAGGAGAGACCUUCAAGCACUCCAGUAAAAAAGGGGGCUUCAGAAAUAGGCAACACAUACAUCCCUAUGAAGGCCAGUGGCUGGGAGUCCCCCAGAGCCAGCUUUGUCUAGCUGGGGGAAUGUCUAGGGAGUACAAGCAGGAGUUGCAAUGGGAGAAAGCUGAGCUAAGGAGAAUCCAGGCUGGGUAUCAGGAAACACUCCCUAGCAGUGAAUGCUAUUCGAUUGCUCAAGGGGCAAGUGUGAGCAUGGGAGGGUCCAGUGCCAUUGGGCAGUGGACUCAUGGGCCAGUGUGAUUAUGGAAAGCGGUGGGAGCCCAUCACUUGGACUUUAGAAGCAGAAUAGAUGAAUCUCCAGGGCACAGUCCUGCACUGGCCCAUGAGGGAAAGAAUUAGAUGGGCUCUGAUUGAUCUGUUCCACCUCUGGCCCCUGGAACUCUAGCCUGCACUGCCUAGGGGAUGCUAGAGGCAGAUGGUGAGAGGGCUAUCUUCAGCCAAUGGGACACUUACGAGUGUCGGCGCCAGCACUAUCCCCAGGCUUUAUGAUUGCUCUGGUUUCUGAGCUGUCCUGCUGCUGCCAAGCUCUAAAUAAGGUGUGCAAACUCCAGUGACCAUACCAGGCGUGGCAAAGCUAUGCCAGAGCCCCCGCCCCUAUGCUGUCCUGAUCGAAGAUGCAGGGAGGGGGCCGGGUCUUUAUGGCUAGCUCUCUGAUCACCAGUAUAUGCCAACGGCAACGCCCAGCGGCCUUCCCACCCUGUGCACAGCGUCUCUGUCCUUGAAAGAGGUUAUCGGCCCUGAUCCAUGUUUGUGUGGUACAUCCCACACACCCCAUUUCUACACAGUGGGCCCCACCCUAGGUCAAGGAGCCCAGCAGCAGCCACCCCUCUCUUGUAGAUUUCAGAAACAGACAGCAGUUCUACUCACGCUGUGUCCGUAGUGCCCGUGAUCUCCAACCAGCCCCUUG